CCCAGAGCUCCAGGAGCCCAAAUUCCCCGUGCAAAGGAUCCCAGAGCUCCAGGAGCCCAAUUCCCCUCGCUCAGGACCCCUCGCAGCACCAAGAGGGGCGCUUCCCUUUGCGAAGGUUCCCCCCCCGCUCCCCCCCCGAGCUCCAAGAGAACAUCCCCGCGCCGAGGACCUCUUCCAUCUCCAGGAGCCCGUUCCCCGGGCCGGGACCCUUUGCGGCUCCAGAAGAGCAGCUCCCCACACGAGGGCCUUGGGAGCUCCGUCCUGCCUGUGCUGCACCCCGUGCCCCACGCCUGGAACCCAGGGCAGCCCGGGGGGGGGGACAGCAGGAGCAGCGCUGCAGCGCAUCGUUCUGAGACACGGCGCCCGGCAGCUCGGCUCCGUCGGGUGAACAGCGGCGGCAGUGCAAAGUCCUGCAGCAGCAUCGUGAACUGCAGCAGCAAUGCAAGCUCCUGCAGCCUCAGUGCAAACCGCAGCAGCCGAGGGGAGCACCGUGCAGGCAGUCGGAGCGACGUUUCCGCACGCAUUUUUUCCCCCCACCCCGUGUUGCAGCGCAGCAUUCGGGACGUCCCUUCCUUUCAGCUCUGCGCUGCUCUGCCGGGGCGGAGGAGCGGCCGGCGUUGUGCUGAGGAGGGGAGCGCUGCCCCCCCGCGCUGCAAUUGGGGAGCAGAGUUUGUGGGGCUGCUGGUGCUGCGCUCUUUGGGGUCCCACGGUGGCACCCACAAAGCCGUCGCUGUUUUGUCCCCAUCCCUCCGUGCCCCUUUGGAUUGUGGAGUGGCCGCGUGGCCACAAAGGAGAGGAGGAAACCUUCAGAGCGGCGCUGGAAUGUCCAAGUGCGCCGUGCCUACGGGGGAGGGGGGGGGGAUUGGAGGGGGCUGCAGCUUUCUGAGCCCCCCAACCCCAUCGCUGCCCCUCUGGGACGGGCAGAUGGAGGGGGGGGGAGGAGAUGGGCACCGAUGGCUGCAGCCCCACUGUGCUGAGCUCUGUGCUGAGCUGCGCUGCGCCCACUCUGCACUCAGGACUCGGCUGCGGGCUCAACCCCUCCCCCCCGAUGCUAUGGGGAGCAGAGAGCGAAAUGUGGGGCAGGGGAGGGGAAAGAAAGCUGCGAGUGCUGCUCGUA